rnacentral:rRNA from 1 species
AGGGAAGCAAGCCGGUGACGGUAAGCAAACCCCAAAAAUAUCGUCUCAGUUCGGACUGUAGUCUGCAACUCGACUACACGAAGCCGGAAUUGCUAGUAAUGGCAGGUCAGCAUACUGCCGUGAAUACGUUCCCGGGCCUUGUACACACCGCCCGUCACACCAUGAGAGUUGGGAAUACCCGAAGCCUGUGAGCUAACCAAAAGGAGGGAGCCGUCGAAGGCAGGUCUGAUAACUGGGGUGAAGUCGUAACAAGGUAAC